UACAGAGGUCUCAAGCGUUGUUCGGAUUCAUUGGGCGUAAAGGGUGCGUAGGUGGCGGGGUAAGUCAGGUGUGAAAUCUCGGAGCUCAACUCCGAAACUGCACUUGAUACUGCCUUGCUCGAGUACUGGAGAGGAGAUUGGAAUUUACGGUGUAGCAGUGAAAUGCGUAGAUAUCGUAAGGAAGACCAGUGGCGAAGGCUAAUCUCUGGACAGUUACUGACACUGAGGCACGAAGGCCAGGGGAGCAAACGGG
rnacentral:rRNA from 1 species